rnacentral:ncRNA from 1 species
AAGGCCUGAUGUGUGUGAGAUUACCCGCUGAAUUUAAGCAUAUAAGUAAGCGGAGGAAAAGAAACUAACUAGGAUUCUCUUAGUAAUGGCGAAUGAACAGGAUCAGCUCAGUGCCAAAUCGGAAUCACUUGUGGUUCUGAAAUGUGGCUUGAAGGCAGUACCAGUG